GUGUUUGCUUCCGGAACACAUAUACUAAAACUGCAAAGAUACAGAGAGGGUAGCAUACCCCCUGCACAAGGAUGACACACAAAUCUGUGAUGGGCUCCACAUUUUU